rnacentral:lncRNA from 1 species
AUUCUUCGUAAUAAUUUGCACUUUGUAGGCUUUCUUUAUGUCAAGAACCAAGGAAUUUCAGGACUUGAAGCACAGAAGAAUAUGUUUAUAACAUAUAUGUAAGUCCUAAUUAAUUACACAUGGUUUAAUUUAUUUGUUAAAUUGUUAAACCCCUGUUAGACAUUUCUACAAUAUAAUCGCCUGUUUAAUUUUCAAAUAAUCCCAUAUUCAUUUUGAUUGAGAAUGCAUUUGCACUUUUAAGUUUUAACUUGUAAAAACAUGGAUUUAUGAAGCUCUUUAGAUUUCAAGUGAAAUUUCUUUCAUGCUUUUUUUUUCUUUUUUUCUUUUAUGCUUAUUAUUAAACGUGUUAAAAGUGAAAUAAUAAAUAAUAGUGAAGGCAUUAAGAAAAAUAUUUUAAUUCAGUUAAUUUCUAUUUGUUUUUUUCUAUACUCAUAAUGUCAUAUAUAUAUAUAUAUAUAUAUUUGCCUAAAAUUAUAUCAGAUAUCUUGACAAUCAUAAUACAACUAAGACAAUCAUCUUAGACCUUGCAUUAUGAAAAUGAUAAGUUUCUGAUUUAUAAUCCGAACCCCUUCUCCAUGGCAUUUUAAUUUCGUCAGAACGUUGGUCUGGGGUGUGUGUCAUGAAGGGGGCUAAAUAGCAAUUUUCUAAGUUUGUAGCUAUUGGAGUAUAUAUAUAAUAUAAGCCCUUACCAAAUAAAUAUUGAGGCCCAACAAGUGCCAGAAAGAUGUUAAACAUUUAAACUACAUUUCUACAGCCUAUUAAAUCACUCAUUGUGAAUAAAAUAUUGUUAAUUUCUUAAAAAAAUAUUUAAUGUGAUUUUUGAGUAUGUCCCAUUUUGGGGGAUUGUACACAACACAAGCCGGCCCUCGCGCGCCACUAUUUAACCUAUCAUCACUCUUGCAAUUUCAUUAACCCCUUUUCAUAUUUAUCUGGACAGGAAAAUAAUUUAUUUUCAUGGAAGAUUCAUGGUGAAGGAGGACCAAUGCAUUAUAUAAGAGAGGUACUUAUGUGAUUUCAUUUUUACUAUAAUUUUGUUUGUUCAAAAUUUAAUUUAGUAAAUAAAUAGUUCUUAAUCAUAUACUUGGAAUAUUGUGUAUCAGAUAAUUAAUAUUUUAAUUUUCUUUAAACAUAAUUUCCAUAAAUUUCCUUUCUAAUUAAUUUGAGGAUAUAUAUAUAUAUAUAUAUAUAUAUAUGGUUUGCAUACUUCAUAUCUUUGCAGAAUUUCUUCCUUUUAUCUUGUGCUGUGUAUUCCUGAGAGUUUAUUUUUUUGCCUUACAUAUAUAUAGCUAAUUUUAUGUUGAAAAGGCUAGUUAUAUUAACACACAUAAUAUACUUUUCUUAAUUAUGAAAUAUAUCCCUAGAAUUAUAUGUUAAUUAAUUAGUUCGACUAAUUUUUGUUUUUUUUAAGUAGGCUAGUGACUAGAAAUUUCGCUCUUAAGAUGGAUUCGAACUCAGCCCCUAUCCUGUAAAUUGAAUUAAACUAACGGGACUAGUUCCAUUAACUUCUUUUUAUAGAUUAAUUAGUUUUUCUAAUAUUGUAGGAUCCGCUUGAAUUGAAUCAUUUGAUUAUUUACUUGAAUUUAUUUUGUGAAGCUAUUUGCGAGAAAGUAUAAAAACAACUUAAUUAUUUUUAUUAGUUUUUUAAGAUAAUUUAUCAAAACAACUUAUAAUAAAAUAUAUGAUCACAAUUUAAUUUUAUCAAAUUGAAUUGCUAUAAGUUUAUACUUAAGUGUUUAUGAUGAUAAUUAAGUGUUUGUGCUAUAAGCUACAACCAAAGUUAUUACAAUUGGUUUAGCUAGUGCUUGUUAGUACAACUAAAUUUUGACUUGGUUGGAGGUUUGUUUGGGUUGAGUACUAAAUAUAGUUGUCUUACCGCGAUAGAAACUUAACUCACACUUAUGUAGCAUUAUGUUUUGAGUUCAAUAAUGAAAAUACACUGAUUUAGUAAUUGAAGUAUUUGACAAUAGAUACAUAUACAUUCCAAAGGAUAAAGGUACUUUUGGACAAGAAAGGAUAAAGGUACUUGGAACAUACGAAUAAAAGUGGUUGGAUGAGAUUUUCCCCUUCUUUUUAUUGAGUCAAAUAGGCUAAUGGCUAGAAUUCCAAUUUUAAGGUGAAUAAAUAGAUUGUUCGGAGUUCAAAUCUCAAUCCUUGUAUAUAAAAUGCGUUGUCUACCAACUGAAUUAAGCUCACGAGAACAAAUGAGGAUUUCCUCUUAAUAGACAUGUAACAUAUGUUUGCUUGAAAGCAUAAUUAUAAAUGCAUUUAUGAUAUAUUCUAACUAUAUGAGAAUGAUGUGAGGCCGCGAUUCAAGAGUUCAUAGACUUGACACUAAUAUAUGUAUAUAUAUUUAUAUAUAUAUAUAUUGUUCAUUCAAAAUAUAUUUUUAGAAUGUUGCAAUGGUUAGAUUUGAAUUAUAGCAUCAUUAAUUAGUUUGAUACCUUGUAUCACAUGGUUCUUAACGAUCAUUGCAAAAGUUCUUCGAAAGUUGUUUCUCUUCACCAAAAGACAUGGGUUUUUAUGAUAAAUAGACACUUUGGAGGCUGAAAAUAAAAACAAAGAAUUUCAUGAGUGACAUGGGUUAAUAUGCUUGAUAUGAAUGUGCAAUGUAGGUCAAGGCUUCUAAAGUAUCAUGAAAGGGAUUCGUCGAUUUAUCCAUUUGAAUCUUGGUGGAGGGGAAUCGAACUUAAAACUUAGUUUUAUACACAUGCUUUGAAAACUCAUGUGCAACUUUCAUUAUGUUUAUCUUCUUUGUUCAAAUUAUUUGCAGCAAAAAACCAAAACAAGAUUUGUAUGCUAAGGCAUAGAGUACUGUUAUGGAUAUGAUAGAAAACAAUCUGAACUUUAUAUAUCCUUUUUAGGAUUUCUUGUGAAUAUUUCUGCUAAAGAUUGUUAAAUUUUGUUAUCUGAAAGUAACAAAGCUAAUUUAUAAAAUGAAUUUCUAGCUGCAGGAUGAAACACAAAAUUUGAAUGGAGAAACUGUUAAGAGAGAAU